rnacentral:rRNA from 1 species
AUUGAACGCUGGCGGCAUGCUUUACACAUGCAAGUCGAACGGUAACAGGCCGCAAGGUGCUGACGAGUGGCGAACGGGUGAGUAAUGCAUCGGAACGUGCCCAGUCGUGGGGGAUAACUACUCGAAAGAGUAGCUAAUACCGCAUACGAUCUAUGGAUGAAAGCGGGGGACCGUAAGGCCUCGCUCGAUUGGAGCGGCCGAUGUCAGAUUAGGUAGUUGGUGGGGUAAAGGCUCACCAAGCCAACGAUCUGUAGCUGGUCCGAGAGGACGACCAGCGACACUGGGACUGAGACGCGGCCCAGACUCCUACGGGAGGCAGCAGUGGGGAAUUUUGGACAAUGGGCGCAAGCCUGAUCCAGCAAUGGCGCGUGCAGGAAGAAGGCCUUCGGGUUGUAAACUGCUUUUGUACGGAACGAAACGGCUCUGGUUAAUACCCGGGGUUAAUGACGGUACCGGAAGAAUAAGCACCGGCUAACUACGUG